CAACUUGUUUGUCCCUCGAGAGACAUGCAUCUGCUUCUAAAGACACACUUGGCUGAAAACCUGCAAGACCUUACAGAACUUUAGUGAUUUUACCACACCUUUUUUCACACUUAUCUACUUUUUCACUUGUUCACACCCUCUCUGAUGAGAAAUAAGCAGUGGCAGAAAGAAAAUAUGUAUAUAUUUUUUUUUAAUCAUGUCCUUUCAUCCCUGAAGGAUAUUGUUUUGUUUUGCAAUUCUGGCAACGAAAAAAAAAGUGAGAUGGCGAGUAUACUAGCAAGGAGAGGUGUGUGAGCAAGUGUGUGUUUGUGUGUAUGUGUGUGCGAGGUAGCCUAGAGUUCAUUUAUGAAGUAUGCAGACGCAGCGGUAUAACCUUUUAAUUGCAGGGAUGAGAUUCUGAGGAAAUUCAAGGUGCACACAAGAUGCUAUUUAUUAGGGUAAGUUUCGACUCAAAAAGGGAAAGUCUGUCUCAGAGAGGGCAACGGCCUCAGCCGAACCCUUUUAUUUUGCCAUCUGUAGACCUUUAAACCUUAGUGUUAUCAAUGUACCCCACUUUCUCGAAAGAAAUUAAUACUCUACUGAUGGCCUCUGUGGCACUAUUGGACUGUCAGAGCAAAUCAUUGAAUUUGUUGACUACAAAACUUUCCCAGAACUUCCCUGAAGCUCCACCCACUGCAAGUUGUAACGUUGCAAAGGAAUAGUCCCAGCCCACUUUUUCUUCUCAACAACACUUUUUCCAUUCAAAGAGUAAAAACCGUCUGGUCUUGCCACACUUUUAUGGUUAACCAUAUGUUUCAUGUGUAUUACAACAAUAUCUGAAUGUUAUCCCUUAUCAUUUAUUGUACAUUUGUUGUUUUUUUGUUUGUUUAAAAAUUAUUUUGUACUUUUUUAUGCAUAUAAUCGAAAUUAUGGAAAUGUCAUUGAGCCAUUUUUGUCCACUUUUAAUUUGCUGAUUUCCCUCUUGCUUUCUGUUUGCGUUAACACUUAUAUGGAAGAAUUCUUCAAUCGUGUUGCGUGCCAUGAGAAUCACAGCAGCCAGCAUAUCCUGCCUCCAGAAGAAAGUAAGAACAGAGAGUAUGGUGUGAUAAUAACAGCAACUAUAUCCAACCCUCAAACUCAUGCACCCAAAGCCUUUUCCUUUCAUCAUCUGAAAUGGAAACACUGUGUGCCUUAAUUUCUUUCUGCCCAAAGGAUAUUCCACUUAUUUCCCUCCCGUCUUCACUCUCUUUGGACGAAAUGAUCGUGGCUUGCAGAGGAGGAAAGGAAUUGAAAUGGCAGCUAUAAUUGAAUCUGAGAAGCAAUGUUUUUAACAACUGGUUGUUGUUUGCAUGGACGGAAUCGAUUAUGCUAGUUUGCUAAGUUUUGUACAUAGCCUCACAGUUCAAGAGUUACAGGACCCUUUCUGUCCGUGUCGGAUUGCUUCGGCUGUGGGGAUGAAGACGACAACUCCCAUGAUCCCACAUGAUUCCGCGUCAUCAAUCUACGCCGUUGUGUCUUUGUUUGUUUUGAACACGCGCCCUCUAGUGGCAAAAAAUGACAUAUUGUGCCUUUAAGUGCCUUCAAACAGCUUUCGUUUUCUGAGAUUAGCGACUUUUUCCCCUUUGAUUUCAUUUGAACUGAAAGCUAAAAAAAAGGAGUUGUAAUGUAAAUAAGAGCGUUCUGUAUUUUAUUGCCAGAUGUCUGCUGGCUAAGACAGGAGGUUAGUAAUCGCUAGAAGAUUUGUUUGAUUGAUGGUUGGUUAAUGGAUGAUCAGUUGACUGAUUGAUCCGUUUAUCACUUGACAGAUUGAUUACGCACAAAUAAUAGCGAUGGAUUUGGUUUGCGCUGAUGUUAGUUUUCACGCUGGAUGGAUGGAUGGAUGGAUAGAUAGAUAGAUGUGUUAACCACAUGAGGGCGCU
rnacentral:lncRNA from 1 species